UGCGCAGGCGGUUCGGCAAGAAGGAUGUGAAAUCCCAGGGCUUAACCUGGGAACUGCACUUGUGACUGCAAGGCUGGAGUACGGCAGAGGGGGAUGGAAUUCCGCGUGUAGCAGUGAAAUGCGUAGAUAUGCGGAGGAACACCGAUGGCGAAGGCAAUCCCCUGGGCCUGUACUGACGCUCAUGCACGAAAGCGUGGGGAGCAAACAGGAUUAGAUACCCCCGUA
rnacentral:rRNA from 1 species